rnacentral:sRNA from 1 species
CCCACGGCUCGCGCCGCGGGCUAGAAUCUUGCGCCCCUGCCGGGGCU